GCUUACUGGCGAACAUGCAGGUAAAUGCGCAAUUUUCUGUCGGUUUCCUAAACCGAGUGUCGCAAGUUCGAAUCUUGCAGGGGGCGCCA
rnacentral:tRNA from 1 species